GACGAACGCUGGCGGCGUGCUUAACACAUGCAAGUCGAACGGUGACCCAGGGCUUGCCCUGGUGAUCAGUGGCGAACGGGUGAGUAACACGUGGGCAACCUGCCCCUGACUUCGGGAUAACUCCUCGAAAGAGGAGCUAAUACCGGAUACGACCACUUCGGACAUCCGAUGGUGGUGGAAAGUUUUUCGGUCAGGGAUGGGCCCGCGGCCUAUCAGCUAGUUGGUGGGGUAAUGGCCUACCAAGGCGACGACGGGUAGCCGGCCUGAGAGGGCGACCGGGCCACACUGGGACUGAGACACGGCCCAGACUCCUACGGGAGGCAGCAGUGGGGAAUAUUGCGCAAUGGGCGAAAGCCUGACGCAGCGACGCCGCGUGAGGGAUGAAGGCCUUCGGGUUGUAAACUCUUUCAGCAGGGACGAAGCGAAAGU
rnacentral:rRNA from 1 species